GGGUGACUAGUCUAGUGGUCAGGACGCUUCGUUGUGGUUUCUCUACCAUAUGCGAGCCCGAAGAAACCCCGGUUCGAUUCCGGGGUCGCCCA